CGCCCCUCCCCCCACCAAGCUCAAUCUUCCCAGGUUGACCUCAGACUGCUGUGCUAGCAGCAGGAAUUUCAAGCCAGUGGAUCUUAGCUUGCUGGGUUCCGUGAGAGUGGGACCCACCAAGCCAGACCACUUAUCCCCUUGGCUUUAGUCCCCCUUCCAGGGAAGUGAAGGGUUCUACCUCGCUGGCAUUCCAGAUACCACUGGGGUAUGAAAAAAAAAACUCCUGCCACUAGCUCGGUGUCUGCCCAAAUUGCUGCCCAGUUUUGUGACUGAAACUCAGGGCCUUGGUGGCGUGGGCACCAGAGGGCAUCUCCUGGUCUGUUGGUUGCGAAGACUGGGAAAAGCACAGUAUCUGCGCUGGAAUGCAACGUUCUUCCUGGUACAGUCUCUCAUGGCUUCCCUUGGCUAGGGGAGAAAAAUCCCCUGACUCCAGAUUUUCUCCUGCAGCUUCCUCACCUCUCACAUUUAGAUGCCAUUGUGGGGUUAUUAAUUGGCCUAAUUUCAGUACUGUUGUGUGUCAGGAAAUAGGAAGGCCAGAAAAGUAGGGGAGAGAGAAGGGAAUGGCCGAUCAGUGGAGCAGUUGGAAGACACACAUUUGUCAAUCAUGUUUACCCCAGGUGGUGAAGGGGCCAAGUGGUGGGUUGUUUCUCCUGGAUCAGGGUGAAAGUCUAGGCUCCCAAUAUAGCCUCCAGUGACACCAUGGGAGUGGACCUCAUCACCAUCUUGCAGGGAUAGAAGUCCCACACUCCCUACUGGGCUAGCUUUGACAUGGCUCCAGCAGGAGAUGGGGAGGCCUCAUUACAACAGGCAAAGGAAAAGGUCUAGGCUCUCCACUUGGCCUUUGCUGAUGAGGCUGUGGGGUUUGGGCCAUGGGUUUUCCAUGGUGUUUGCAUAGAGUAGGGCAGUUACUGUCUGAGAGCUCUCCAUCUUUCUAGGUUGCCCUGUCCUGAUCCUUUGGCUAGAGAUACCAGGCUUUGCUUAGCUGUCGGCUCCUAUUGGUGUUUCUGGGGUACCAAUUUCUCCAGCGCUCAAUCUGAGCUAUAUGAGGCAAAGGAAAACCCAGGUAAGUCAAUGCUGUGUUAUUCCUUGGGUACUGAAGUUCCUAGCCAGUCAGUCUUCUCAUCUUUCAUAGUUGUCUCAUGUUUGUUUUAUGUAAAAGUCCAGGCUGCACUUAGUGGGAGGAAUAGGGAUAAGUGUGUCUACUCCUUGUCUCUUCGACUUUGUUUUGAAUAGUGAAUUUUCUAAAAAUGUCCUAGAAAGUCAAACUAUGGCUUGGUGCAGUGGCUCAUGCCUGUAAUCCCAGCACUUGGGGAGGCUAAGGUGGGUGGAUCGCUUGAGGCCAGGAGUUUGAGACCAGCCUAGGCAACAUGGUGAAACCCUGUCUGAAAAAAACAAAGCCCAAAAUAUUGCUACUCAUUAACAAUGCACCUGGUUACCCAAGAACUCGGAUGGAGAUGUACAAGGAGAUGAAUAUUUUCAUGCCUGCUAACAUAGUAUCUAUUCUGCAGCCCAUGGAUCAAGGUGUACUUUUGAUUUUCAAGACUUAUUAUUUGACAAAUACAUUUUAUAAUUCUCCUGAUGGUUCUGGGCAAAGUCAGUUGAAAACCUUUUGGAAAGGAUUCACCAUUUUAGAUGCCAUUAAGAGCAUUCGAUUCAUGGGAGGAGGUCAAAAUAUCAACAUUAAUAGGAGUUUGGAAGGAAUAAGAGGGUUUCAAGACUUCAGAGGAGGAAGGAACUGCAGAUAGGGUGAAAAUAGCAAGAGAAUUAGAAGUGGAGGAGCCUGGAGAUGUGACUGAAUUGCUGUAAUCCCAGGAUCAAACUUGUGUGGAUCAACAGUUGCUUCUCAUGGACGAACAAAGAAAAUGAUUUCUUGAGAUGGAAUCUACUCCUGGUGAAGAUGCUGUGAACAUUGUUGAAAUGACAACAAAAGAUUUAGAAUAUCCCAUAAACUUACCAUUGGCAGGGUUCGAGAGGAUCGACUCCUAAUUUUGAAAAGUUCUACUGUGGGUAAAUGCUGUCAAACAGCAUCAUAUGCUACAGAGGAAUCUUUCAUGAAAGAAGAGUUAAUCAAUGCAGCAAACUCCACUGUUGUCUUAUUUUAAGAAAUUGCCACAGUUACACCAGGCUUCAGCAACCACCACCCUGAUCAGUCAGCAGCCAUCAACAUUGAGGCAAGACUGUCCACCAGCAAAAAGAUUAUGACUCAAAGAAUGGUUGUUAGAAUUUCUUAGCAGUAAGGUAUUUA